GUAAGUGGCAAGCGUUGUCCGGAAUUAUUGGGCGUAAAGCGCGCGCAGGCGGUUCUUUAAGUCUGAUGUGAAAGCCCACGGCUCAACCGUGGAGGGUCAUUGGAAACUGGAGAACUUGAGUACAGAAGAGGAAAGCGGAAUUCCACGUGUAGCGGUGAAAUGCGUAGAGAUGUGGAGGAACACCAGUGGCGAAGGCGGCUUUCUGGUCUGUAACUGACGCUGAGGCGCGAAAGCGUGGGGAGCAAACAGGAUUAGAUACCCUGGUAGUCCACGCCGUAAACGAUGAGUGCUAAGUGUUAGGGGGGUUUCCGCCCCCCUUAGUGCUGCAGCUAACGCAUUAAGCACUCCGCCUGGGAGUACGGCCGCAAGGCUG
rnacentral:rRNA from 1 species